AUGACAUCAUCAUACAGUGGUGCAAGUUCACGUUAAGUGGAAGUUUUUAUACGGCUGGUGGUUUACAAAUCUCUUUGGCAGGACGUGCACACACAUGAGGAAAAAAAGCCAAACGGUGUGUGCUGGUGAGUAUCUAUCAGAAAUAUAUUUUCAGUAUAAAAAAAAUGUUGAGUUUAUCAACUUUCUACUCAAUAUUACCAAUUGUUAUUUACCAUCGCAACAUUUUACUUUGAUAAAAACUACCUUGUAGGUAAAGUAUUUUCCUAAAAUAUAAAGGCGACUAACAAAUACAAAUGUAUAGCAGUGAAUCUUGCUAACUUAGUAUUAACCUUCUCGCAAUGGGCAUCCUUUUGUGAGCAUGUCAUGAGGUUUUAGUUGGUUAUACUCAAAAUUUAAUUAAACAACUUUCUUAUCAUGGGAUAUGAAUAAACUUGGCAUAAAAACAUAGCUAGUAAUCCAAAGUUUAAUAUUAUUUAAUUUUUAAGUCCUGAAUUUUAUAAGGCAGUACUAAAAAAACUAAAGUAUAUUAAAGAAUUGUGACUUUUGCUCUCUAAGUAUCCCCUCUUCCCUAAUAUAGCAUCCCUCCGAGAAGUAUGACAAUUAAUUUCAAUUACUCAUUAUAAUGUUGUCAUUGCUCAGACAAAACAUAUUUUUUAUAACAAUUUGGUUACAGAGCCAUAAAAUAGAAAAUCAGAACCCUAUUGCCAUACCUGCCUGUCACAUCCUCUCUUUCAGAAAUUGCCAAUAGUUCUCUUUGACAUAUUUUUUUUUUCUUCGUUAAAUAGACAUUGGCUAGAGAUUCAGAAACUUCGAAGUAAAAUGAAGAGGAAAGUUGACACUAAAGCAAGUAAAGGAAGGAAGGUUAGAUAUGAUGUCCACCCUAAGCUCAUAAAUUUCAUGGCUCCUCUUGACAAUUCUUCUAUGACUGAUGAAUCAAGGAAUGAGCUAUACAGCUCGCUGUUUGGGAAGAAAAGUUAUCAGAGUUCAACUUCAUGACGAUAAUGUAAAUUUAUUUGUAAAAAUAAUUUUAAAUAAAAAGAAAAUCUGGCCAAACCUGCUUUCGGUGAUGAACUUCUUCAGCAAAACAUUUUCAAGAUUUUUUUAAACUAAAUGUUUCAUGUAGUAAUAGUAAUAUUAGUGAAGAGUCUACAUGAAAGCAACAAAAAUGUGAUAAAACUUUGAUUCUGAAUAUAAAGUUUGGGAGGUUUAUAAAGUAGCAUGUGAGAAAAUCUUAGGGAAACAACACCGUGUGUCUGGUGAAAAACUUUGGAUUCUUAAAACUCAAAAUCUCAAGGAAACAGCAGUAUUUUCCUGUUGAUGAAAGCUCGGAUUGUUAAUACUUCAAUAUCUUGGGGGGAAACAACGGAGUGAGUUUAUGAGAAAACCUUUAAUUAUUAAUACUGAAACUCUUGGGGAGAUUAAUUGAAAUACUUGUUAAAUAAAUGUGUGGAUUUAGGUGCUGAAAAGGUUUGGUGGAGAUAAGAAAUAUUGCUUGUAGACAUAGAACCUUUACCACAAGCUACUAGUGCGAAACCAAAAAAUUACAGCAAGCUUCAAGUUCAGGAAGAAAGUGAGGUUGAAUACUGAUGGUAAAAUGUAGAAUUCCUUGGCAUGCAUAAGAUAACACUUAAUAGUAUGUUUGUGAUAAAACAUCAUAAGAAUAAUGUGUUUUAACUUAUUAUCAGUCUUAUUUGUGGUUCAAGUCACACACAUUAUUACUGAAUGUCAUGCUUCAGCAGGUAUGGUGUUCUACAUGGUAUAAC